rnacentral:rRNA from 1 species
AUUGAACGCUGGCGGCAGGCCUAACACAUGCAAGUCGAACGAGUGGCGGACGGGUGAGUAAUGUCUGGGAAACUGCCCGAUGGAGGGGGAUAACUACUGGAAACGGUAGCUAAUACCGCAUACCAUCGGAUGUGCCCAGAUGGGAUUAGCUAGUAGGUGGGGUAACGGCUCACCUAGGCGACGAUCCCUAGCUGGUCUGAGAGGAUGACCAGCCAAACUGGAAACGAGAAACGGUCCAGACCCCUACGGGAGGCAGCAGUGGGGAAUAUUGGACAAUGGGGGAAAGCCCGAUGCAGCCAUGCCGCGUGGAUGAAGAAGGCCUUCGGGUUGUAAAGUACUUUCAGCGGGGAGGCGUUAACCGCAGAAGAAGCACCGGCUAACUCCGUGCCAGCCGCCGCGGUAAUUC